rnacentral:rRNA from 1 species
CCCUUAGAUGUUCUGGGCCGCACGCGCGCUACACUGACGGAGCCAACGAGUAUUUUCCUUGUCCGGAAGGACUGGGUAAUCUUGUGAAACUUUGUCGUGCUGGGGAUAGAGCAUUGUAAUUAUUGCUCUUCAACGAGGAAUUCCUAGUAAGCGUGAGUCAUCAGCUCGCGUUGAUUACGUCCCUGCCCUUUGUAUACACCGCCCGUCGCUACUACCGAUUGAAUGGCUUAGUGAGCCUUUGGGAUUGGCAGCCAACACCGGCAACGGUAGCUGGCCGCCGAAAACUUAUGCAAACUUGGUCAUUUAGAGGAAGUAAAAGUCGUAACA